GAUGAACGCUGGCGGCGUGCCUAAUACAUGCAAGUCGAGCGAACGGACGAGAAGCUUGCUUCUCUGAUGUUAGCGGCGGACGGGUGAGUAACACGUGGAUAACCUACCUAUAAGACCGGGAUAACUUCGGGAAACCGGAGCUAAUACCGGAUAAUAUUUUGAACCGCAUGGUUCAAAAGUGAAAGACGGUCUUGCUGUCACUUAUAGAUGGAUCCGCGCUGCAUUAGCUAGUUGGUAAGGUAACGGCUUACCAAGGCAACGAUGCAUAGCCGACCUGAGAGGGUGAUCGGCCACACUGGAACUGAGACACGGUCCAGACUCCUACGGGAGGCAGCAGUAGGGAAUCUUCCGCAAUGGGCGAAAGCCUGACGGAGCAACGCCGCGUGAGUGAUGAAGGUCUUCGGAUCGUAAAACUCUGUUAUUAGGGAAGAACAUAUGUGUAAGUAACUGUGCACAUCUUGACGGUACCUAAUCAGAAAGCCACGGCUAACUACGUG
rnacentral:rRNA from 1 species